AUCAUGAUCUCUGCUUCCAAAACACUUCAGGACUGAUCAAGCAAACUCCUGCUGCACGAGGGAAAUAUUGACAAGGAGAAAAGAAGCGCUUUGCCAACCAAGCAGAGUUUGUGCUGAACAGAACACUUGACCAUGCUGCUUCCCAGUCUCUCUCAUGCUCUCUGCAUAGCCAGGACAAAGACAUUCAGAUGGAGGAAGACUGAGCUCCGGUCAGAGCUGUUGAUCCAGGACCCCUUGACACUCCAUUUUAAAAUCAAAGUAUUUUGAAACAAAACUUCCUUAAUGAGCAC